AUUGAACGCUGGCGGCAGGCUUAACACAUGCAAGUCGAGCGAGCGGCGGACGGGUGAGUAAUGUCUGGGAAACUGCCUGAUUGAGGGGGAUAACUACUGGAAACGGUAGCUAAUACCGCAUACCAUCAGAUGUGCCCAGAUGGGAUUAGCUAGUAGGUUGGGUAAUGGCUCACCUAGGCGACGAUCCCUAGCUGGUCUGAGAGGAUGACCAGCCACACUGGAACGGAGACACGGUCCAGACUACUCCGGGAGGCAGGAGUGGGGAAUGUUGCACAAUGGGCGGAAGCCUGGUGCAGCCAUGCCGCGUGGGUGAAGAGGGCCUUCGGGUUGUAAAGCACUUUCAGCGAGGAGGCUGUACUAGCAGAAGAAGCACCGGCUAACUCCGUGCCAGCAGCCGCGGUAAUAC
rnacentral:rRNA from 1 species